rnacentral:tRNA from 1 species
GCUGGUAUGGCUCAGUGGUUGAGCGUCAACCUACAAACCAGGAGGUCAUGGUUCAAUUCCUGGUAAUAGCA